UUUGAUAGAGAUAUACCCCAAAGGCUCCUGAUCCUGUCUGAUCUUGGAAGCUAAACAAGGUCAACCCUGGUUAGUACUUCAAUGUAAGACCAACAAUGAAUAUCAGGUGCGAUGUGUGAAAU
rnacentral:rRNA from 11 species